CUACGGGUUGCAGCAGUGAGGAAUAUUGCACAAUGGGGGGAACCCUGAUGCAGCAACGCCGCGUGGAGGAUGACGCAUUUCGGUGUGUAAACUCCUUUUAUAUGUCAAGAAAAUGACGGUAGCAUAUGAAUAAGCACCGGCUAACUCCGUGCCAGCAGCCGCGGUAAUACGGAGGGUGCAAGCGUUACUCGGAAUCACUGGGCGUAAAGGACGCGUAGGCGGGUUUGAAAGUCAGGUGUGAAAUCCUACAGCUUAAUUGUAGAACUGCACUUGAAACUUCUAAUCUAGAGUAUGGGAGGGGGAGAUGGAAUUAGUGGUGUAGGGGUAAAAUCCGUAGAUAUCACUAGGAAUACCUAAAGCGAAGGCGAUCUCCUGGAACAUUACUGACGCUAAGGCGUGAAAGCGUGGGGAGCAAACAGGAUUAGAUACCCUUGUAGUC
rnacentral:rRNA from 1 species